UGUCUUUUGAGUACCUUCGUUUCCUCGGCGGGUCCGCCCGCCGAUUGGACAAAACUUAAACCCUUUGUAAUUGAAAUCAGCGUCUGAAAAAACUUAAUAGUUACAACUUUCAACAACGGAUCUCUUGGUUCUGGCAUCGAUGAAGAACGCAGCGAAAUGCGAUAAGUAGUGUGAAUUGCAGAAUUCAGUGAAUCAUCGAAUCUUUGAACGCACAUUGCGCCCCUUGGUAUUCCAUGGGGCAUGCCUGUUCGAGCGUCAUUUGUACCUUCAAGCUUUGCUUGGUGUUGGGUGUUUGUCUCGCCUCUGCGCGCAGACUCGCCUCAAAACAAUUGGCAGCCGGCGUAUUGAUUUCGGAGCGCAGUACAUCUCGCGCUUUGCACUCAUAACGACGACGUCCAAAAAGUACAUUUUUACACUCUUGACCUCGGAUCAGGUAGGGAUACCCGCUGAACUUAAGCAUAU
rnacentral:rRNA from 1 species